rnacentral:rRNA from 1 species
GAUGAACGCUGGCGGCGUGCCUAAUACAUGCAAGUCGAGCGAACAGACGAGGAGCUUGCUCCUCUGACGUUAGCGGCGGACGGGUGAGUAACACGUGGAUAACCUACCUAUAAGACUGGGAUAACUUCGGGAAACCGGAGCUAAUACCGGAUAAUAUAUUGAACCGCAUGGUUCAAUAGUGAAAGACGGUUUUGCUGUCACUUAUAGAUGGAUCCGCGCCGCAUUAGCUAGUUGGUAAGGUAACGGCUUACCAAGGCAACGAUGCGUAGCCGACCUGAGAGGGUGAUCGGCCACACUGAAACUGAGACACGGUCCAGACUCCUACGGAAGGAGGCAGUAGGGAAUCUUCCGCAAUGGGCGAAAGCCUGACGGAGCAACGCCGCGUGAGUGAUGAAGGUCUUCGGAUCGUAAAACUCUGUUAUUAGGAAGAACAAAUGUGUAAGUAACUAUGCACGUCUUGACGGUACCUAAUCAGAAAGCCACGGCUAACUACGUG